GCCGGUGUGGCGAAAUUGGCAUACGCGCUGGUUUUAGAAACCAGUCCCUUCGGGGUUGGGGGUUCAAGUCCCUCCAUCGGCA
rnacentral:tRNA from 1 species